GGAAUCUUCCACAAUGGACGCAAGUCUGAUGGAGCAACGCCGCGUGAGUGAAGAAGGUUUUCGGAUCGUAAAACUCUGUUGUUGGAGAAGAACACGUUUGAGAGUAACUGUUCAGACGUUGACGGUAUCCAACCAGAAAGCCACGGCUAACUACGUGCCAGCAGCCGCGGUAAUACGUAGGUGGCAAGCGUUAUCCGGAAUUAUUGGGCGUAAAGAGUGAGCAGGCGGUUGAUUAAGUCUGAGGUUAAAGCGUGGGGCUCAACCCCAUAAAGCCUUGGAAACUGAUCGACUAGAGUACGGGAGAAGUGAAGGGAACUCCAUGUGUAGCGGUGAAAUGCGUAGAUAUAUGGAAGAACACCAGUGGCGAAGGCGCUUCACUAGCCCGAAACUGACGCUCAGUCACGAAAGCGUGGGUAGCAAAUA
rnacentral:rRNA from 1 species